CAACCGCAAACGCUAGCUGGAACCAGCUUUUGAUUUUAAGAGGUUCGGAGCGGUUUGAUGCGAUUUGUAGCGGUUUGUAUGAUUGUUUCGAAACGCUGUCAACCGCUACCAAUCGCAAAAGCUGCGUUUGCGGGUGGUAGCGGGAAAACCAAUCAAGCUCUAAAUAUAAUUUGUAUUAAAAUUGUAAAGUGAUAUUUUUUGUGUAACAAAAAAAACUAGAAUAACACUUAUUUUGAAACAA
rnacentral:lncRNA from 1 species